rnacentral:tRNA from 1 species
GUUUUCUUAGUUGAAUUACAACGGUGGUUUUUCAGAUCACAGGUCUUGGUAGUGCUAGUCCUAGAGUAAACG